AAAAUAUAAACCGGACCGGUUCGCUGCUUGCAGCGGGCUGCGAAGGGAGAUAUUAUACACCCUGUACUUGCUUACCUUUGUUGCUUUGGCGGGCACGAUCGGCCGGAGGACCCAAAUUCUUUUUAUUAGUGAUGUCUGAGUACUAUAUAAUAGUUA
rnacentral:misc_RNA from 1 species